ACAUGCAACGCAUGUGGAAGCUGCUGGACCACUUUCCAGCUGUUGCUGUUGCGGUCAACAACCUCCAGGCCUCGACAACUUGUGAGCAAGAUGAUUGGGGGGUUUUCCGGCCAAUAUUGCUUCCAUUCACUCAGGGGAUGGGCAUAAUGCUUUAGUUUGAAGAAAUCUGAAGCUGCUUCAACAGCACCAUCCAUGACAGAUUGACUGAUCCCAUGGUUUAUGACCUGCAAUGGAGAUAGGCAAGUAAGCUUUCUUUGUUCCCUUGCACAUGCUUGUUAGUAGAGUGUCCAAGAAGGGUUCAUGAAAAGGUUGUACCUUAACUCUAGUGUAGCUACAUGGCCUUAAGUUCUCCUCUAAUGCUUUAAAAUUUUAGUAGUGGUCCUUGAGAACCUUGACAUUGCUAUCAUUUUAUAUGCACAGAAGGCACCUGUUGUAUAAAUGAUUUGUUAUUUCUCAAAGGUCACUCUGUUGGAGAACAUGCCUUAAUAAUACUGUUUGCUGCCUUUCUUUGUCCACAUGUACCCAUAGGACAAUGAUGCAGUUGUUAAAAAACCAGCCAUUUAGGCCAACCCUGGCUCCCUGUUGCUCUAAAACUAGACAUUUAUAUCGAGUAGGCUUUGGCCCUGUUGCAGAUUUCAACUUUGACCAACUGUUGACAAAGAAUGAAGAAAACUGAGAUGCUUGAACUUACACGUUGCUAGAUACUUCCGAAUAUCUUUCCUAAAGUUUAUGAAGACUAAAUUACAGUUCAAAACUUCACAAGUGCACUCAAUACUGAAAUGUUACAUCAUAAAAAAAUAUUAAAAAUGUAGCAGGUAAAGGGAAUUAUCUAUAACUGGAAGGCCGAAAUGGGGACCGAACUUCUCAGCUACUUGUUAUUUGUCAGGUUCCAUUUAACCAAAUGACAAAAAAUGUAGCUUGUCCUCCGUGUAUAGUACAGGUUGUGCCAAUCACCGAUGCCUCAUGCAGACACGUGAGGUGUUCUAGUAUAAUACUUUAUAUACACUGUUUGCACAGCUCAUACUCUUCAUUUUUGGGGGCAAAAGGAGGAUGGAGCUCGUCAAACUACUUAACUGAGUACAGGCAGUUUGCUCCUAAGAUGGCGUGUCCGUGCGUGUACUACUACUAACAAUGCGGUGCCAUCACAGCUAGCCGCGGGAUUCCGAAGUUUCCUUGUUUAUUUGCCUGUACACUCGUCUUCCUUGGUCAACAUUGUGGACACAAGUGGCAGUGUUAUCCACUGCGCUUUGGAAAAGAUAAAUGCCAAGGCAAAGGCAGAAAAAA